rnacentral:rRNA from 1 species
ACUCCUACGGGAGGCAGCAGUGAGGAAUAUUGGGCAAUGCCCGAAAGGGUGACCCAGCAACGCCGCGUGGGGGAUGAAGGCCGUAAGGUUGUAAACUCCUGUUAGAGGAGAAGAAUAGUACCGAUUGGAUMGGUAUUUGACUGUACCCUCAGAGAAAGCCCCGGCUAACUACGUGCCAGCAGCCGCGGUAAUACGUAGGGGGCAAGCGUUGUCCGGAUUUACUGGGUGUAAAGGGCGCGUAGGCGGAAUAAAAAGUCAGAGGUGAAAUCCUACAGCUUAACUGUAGAACUGCCUUUGAUACUUUUGUUCUUGAGUUCGGAAGAGAGAGACGGAAUUCCAGGUGUAGUGGUGAAAUACGUAGAUACCUGGAAGAACACCAGUUGCGAAGGCGGUCUCUUGGUCCGAUACUGACGCUGAGGCGCGAAAGCGUGGGGAGCAAACAGGAUUAGAUACCCGGGUAGUCCACGCUGUAAACGAUGAGUACUAGGUGUAGGGGGUAUCGACCCCCUCUGUGCCGAAGCUAACGCGAUAAGUACUCCGCCUGGGGACUACGGCCGCAAGGCUAAAACUCAAAGGAAUUGACGG